CCUACGGGUGGCUGCAGUGGGGAAUAUUGGACAAUGGGCGAAAGCCUGAUCCAGCCGUGCCGCGUGUGUGAAGAAGGCCUUCGGGUUGUAAAGCACUUUCAGUGGGGAAGAAAGCCUUGGGGCUAAUACCCUCGAGGAAGGACAUCACCCACAGAAGAAGCACCGGCUAACUCCGUGCCAGCAGCCGCGGUAAUACGGAGGGUGCGAGCGUUAAUCGGAAUUACUGGGCGUAAAGCGCGCGUAGGCGGUCUGAUAAGCCGGUUGUGAAAGCCCCGGGCUCAACCUGGGAACGGCAUCCGGAACCGUCAGGCUAGAGGGCAGGGGAGGAAGGUAGAAUUCCCGGUGUAGCGGUGAAAUGGGGAGGGAUCGGGAGGGAUACCCGGGGCGAAGGGGGCCUUCUGGAAUGACACUGAAGCUGAGGUGCGAAAGCGUGGGUAGCAAACAGGAUUAGAUACCCUAGUAGUC
rnacentral:rRNA from 1 species